rnacentral:rRNA from 1 species
AGAGUUUGAUCCUGGCUCAGGAUGAACGCUGGCGGCGUGCCUAAUACAUGCAAGUCGAGCGCGAGCGAUUGGAGCUUGCUCCAAUCAAUCGAGCGGCGGACGGGUGAGUAACACGUAGGCAACCUACCCAUCAGACUGGGAUAACCACGGGAAACCGUGGCUAAUACUGGAUGAUCCUUUGAGACACAAGUCUUAAAGUUGAAAGGCGCUUUUGGUGCCGUUGAUGGAUGGGCCUGCGGCGCAUUAGCUAGUUGGUGAGAUAGUGGCUCACCAAGGCGACGAUGCGUAGCCGACCUGAGAGGGUGAUCGGCCACACUGGGACUGAGACACGGCCCAGACUCCUACGGGAGGCAGCAGUAGGGAAUCUUCCGCAAUGGACGCAAGUCUGACGGAGCAACGCCGCGUGAGUGAAGAAGGGUUUCGGCUCGUAAAACUCUGUUGUUAAGGAAGAAUGACACAUGGAGUAACUGCCAUGUGUGUGACGGUACUUAACCAGAAAGCCACGGCUAACUACGUGCCAGCAGCCGCGGUAAUACGUAGGUGGCAAGCGUUAUCCGGAAUUAUUGGGCGUAAAGCGCGCGUAGGCGGUUUCUUAAGUCUGAUGUGAAAGCCCCCGGCUCAACCGGGGAGGGUCAUUGGAAACUGGGGAACUUGAGUGCAGAAGAGGAGAGUGGAAUUCCAUGUGUAGCGGUGAAAUGCGCAGAGAUAUGGAGGAACACCAGUGGCGAAGGCGGCUCUCUGGUCUGUAACUGACGCUGAUGUGCGAAAGCGUGGGGAUCAAACAGGAUUAGAUACCCUGGUAGUCC